rnacentral:lncRNA from 1 species
GGGCAAAGGGUCUUGAGAUAACCAGACAUGGAACAGACAUGACUUUCUCCUACAGGAACGUUGGUACCUCUUGGGCUUGCAGAAUGUUCCAGAAAGGAUGGAGAAGGAAAGGAUAAGGGCAGCAGAUACAGAUUUAAGUGGACUAUCAAUUUUACUAACCGCAGACAAGAAAUUACUCCGUUCUGACGGGUGCAGGAAUGAAUGUGGAUGCCUUGGAAAAGAAUGGAUUCCGUGUGAAAUGGGCAAUAAGGUAAUUAAAACUCAUGAAGGUGAAGGCACCAGAAGUCGAGCAACUCAAAUGGGCCAGGUGUGUUUGGUGAACUAGCCUUUUCCUGGUUGGGGAUAUGUCCUUCUGUUAAUAGCAUCACAUUGUUCAUGCAAGGAAACUGCUCACAGAUUAAUUCAGUCAUCAAAGAUACGCCCAAUGAGUGCUAUGAUUUGUAAUCUGGAUUUGAAAGCUGCAGUCUGUUGAUGUUCAGACAGUUUAAGAGGAUUUGUUCAAUAAGCAGGGAUUUGUCUUGCAACAAGGCUGUCUGGGCCACCUACAGAAGAAAGCAAGCUAAACUCGCAGACUUGCCUUAGAAGUGCUCUAGCAAUUGGCUGCCCCAGACUUUUCCUUCCAUGCACCUUGCUGGCUGCUUUUGGGCUACAUGGUCUCUUUGCUCUAACCAGACUGGUCUCCUCACCACCAAAAGCCCCUGUCUGCCUGAUUCUGGGCAGUGUUUCUUGGCUGAUGCUCUUUGUUUUAACUAAAAAGACUUUUUCUUCUCC